rnacentral:tRNA from 2 species
GGUGAGAUGACCGAGAGGCCGAAGGUACUCCCCUGCUAAGGGAGCAUACCCCAAAAGGGUAUCGAGGGUUCGAAUCCCUCUCUCACCGCCA